rnacentral:rRNA from 1 species
UACGGAGGGUGCAAGCGUUGUUCGGAAUUAUUGGGCGUAAAGCGCGUGUAGGCGGCUUGGCAAGUCGGGUGUGAAAUCCCUCAGCUCAACUGAGGAAGUGCGCCCGAAACUGCUUUGCUUGAGUGCCGGAGAGGAUGGCGGAAUUCCCCAAGUAGAGGUGAAAUUCGUAGAUAUGGGGAGGAACACCGGUGGCGAAGGCGGCCAUCUGGACGGUAACUGACGCUGAGACGCGAAAGCGUGGGUAGCAAACAGG